GACGAACGCUGGCGGCGUGCUUAACACAUGCAAGUCGAACGGAAAGGCCCUGCUUUUGUGGGGUGCUCGAGUGGCGAACGGGUGAGUAACACGUGAGUAACCUGCCCUUGACUUUGGGAUAACUUCAGGAAACUGGGGCUAAUACCGGAUAGGAGCUCCUGCUGCAUGGUGGGGGUUGGAAAGUUUCGGCGGUUGGGGAUGGACGCGCGGCUUAUCAGCUUGUUGGUGGGGUAGUGGCUUACCAAGGCUUUGACGGGUAGCCGGCCUGGGAGGGUGACCGGCCACAUUGGGACUGGGAUACGGCCCAGACUCCUACGGGAGGCAACAGUGGAGAAUAUUGCACGAUGGGCGGAAGCCUGAUGCAGCAACGCCGCGUGCGGGAUGACGGCCUUCGGGUUGUAAACCGCUUUCGCCUGUGACGAAGCGUGAGUGACGGUAAUGGGUAAAGAAGCACCGGCUAACUACGUG
rnacentral:rRNA from 1 species